UACGUAGGGUGCAAGCGUUAAUCGGAAUUACUGGGCGUAAAGCGUGCGCAGGCGGCUUUGCAAGACAGAUGUAAAAUCCCCGGGCUCAACCUGGGAACUGCAUUUGUGACUGCAUGGCUAGAGUACGGUAGAGGGGGAUGGAAUUCCGCGUGUAGCAGUGAAAUGCGUAGAUAUGCGGAGGAACACCGGUGGCGAAGGCGGCAUCCUGGACCGGCAUUGACGCUGAGGCGCGAAAGCCAGGGGAGCAAACGGG
rnacentral:rRNA from 1 species